GGGGAGAGCCAGAUCCUGGGCUGUGUCCCCAGCGCCCUGGGCUCCUGGGCAUGCACAGCUGGAAUCCCGCUCCUGGGGCUGCACAGCUCCUU
rnacentral:pre_miRNA from 1 species